rnacentral:rRNA from 1 species
GACAGAGGGUGCAAACGUUGUUCGGAAUUACUGGGCGUAAAGGGCGCGUAGGCGGCCUGCUAAGUCGGAUGUGAAAUCCCUCGGCUCAACCGAGGAACUGCAUCCGAUACUGGCGGGCUUGAAUCCGGGAGAGGGAUGUGGAAUUCCAGGUGUAGCGGUGAAAUGCGUAGAUAUCAGGAGGAACACCCGAGGCGAAGGCGGCUCUCUGGGUCGUACCUGACGCUGAGGCGCGAAAGCGUGGGGAGCGAACGGG